rnacentral:rRNA from 1 species
AGUGAACGCUGGCGGCGUGGAUUAGGCAUGCAAGUCGAGCGAUCCCGCAAGGGAUAGCGGCAAAAGGGUGAGUAACACGUAAGUAAUCUUCCUUUAAGACGAGGAUAGCACUGUGAAAACGGUGGUAAUACUCGAUGUUAUCGGAUGUCCGCAUGGACGACCGAUCAAAGACGGGGACCGCAAGGCCUGUCGCUUGAAGAUGAGCUUGCGUACCAUCAGCUAGUUGGUAGGGUAGCGGCCUACCAAGGCUAAGACGGUUAGCUGGACUGAGAGGUUGACCAGCCACACUGGGACUGAGACACUGCCCAGACUCCUACGGGAGGCUGCAGUCGAGAAUAUUUAGCAAUGGACGAAAGUCUGACUAUGCGACGCCGCGUGCAGGAUGAAAGUCUUCGGAUUGUAAACUGCUUUUGUUAGGGAGAAACCUGUAUUAUUAAUAGUAAUACAGCUGACGGUACCUGACGAAUAAGCCACGGCAAACUCUGU